UUCGGGAACUGUGAGACAGGUGCUGCAUGGCUGUCGUCAGCUCGUGUUGUGAAAUGUUGGGUUAAGUCCCGCAACGAGCGCAACCCUUAUCCUUUGUUGCCAGCGGUCCGGCCGGGAACUCAAAGGAGACUGCCAGUGAUAAACUGGAGGAAGGUGGGGAUGACGUCAAGUCAUCAUGGCCCUUACGACCAGGGCUACACACGUGCUACAAUGGCGCAUACAAAGAGAAGCGACCUCGCGAGAGCAAGCGGACCUCAUAAAGUGCGUCGUAGUCCGGAUUGGAGUCUGCAACUCGACUCCAUGAAGUCGGAAUCGCUAGUAAUCGUGGAUCAGAAUGCCACGGUGAAUACGUUCCCGGGCCUUGUACACACCGCCCGUCACACCAUGGGAGUGGGUUGCAAAAGAAGUAGGUAGCUUAACCUUCGGGAGGGCGCUUACCACUUUGUGAUUCAUGACUGGGGUGAAGUCGUAACAAGGUAACCGUAGGGGAACCUGCGGUUGGAUCACCUCCUUACCUUAAAGAA
rnacentral:rRNA from 5 species